rnacentral:rRNA from 1 species
GACGAACGCUGGCGGCGUGCUUAACACAUGCAAGUCGAACGAAGUGGCGAACGGGUGAGUAACGCGUAAUCAACCUGCCCUUCAGAGGGGGACAACAGGUGGAAACGACUGCUAAUACCGCAUACGGAAGGAGGGGAUUGCGUCUGAUUAGCUAGUUGGAGGGGUAACGGCCAACCAAGGCGAAGAGCAGUAGGCGGGCUGAGAGGGUGAACGGCCACAUUGGGACUGGGGAACGGCCCAGACUCCUACGGGAGGGAGCAGGGGGGAAUCUGCCGCCAUGGGCGAAAGUCUGGCGGAGCAAAGCCGCGUGGGUGGAGACGGGCUUCGGGUUGUAAAGCUCUGUUAAUCGGGACGCGGUACCGGAAGAGAAAGCAACGGCUAACUACGUGCCAGCAGCCGCGGUAAUAC